rnacentral:lncRNA from 1 species
ACAGAAUCUACUCCUAAUCAUCCAGAAUGCCCUUGAAGUAGGUGGGCAGGCUCUAUGCUGCAGGUGGUGAAGUGGCCCUGACAUACCUUAUUCUUCCAGAGGCCCUUGAGGACUUCUAAGCCCUCUCACAUCAUCCAUCUAUUCCCAUUGAACCGAACCUUGCUUCAUAGUCACACUAAUCGCCAAAAGAGUUUCUGGCUAAGUGAGACCAAAGUACUCAUAACAACAAGCAUCUGUCAUCUACCAUAAUACUCUCUACUAUGGAUUUUAAUUGGUAGCAAUGAUUUCAAAACUUGACUGCUGUUGAGUUUUAGAUGAAUCAUCUUACCCAGCCCCUGCCCAUGCCUCCAACUGCAUCUUGAGCUACUCUCCAUUUGCUGAGGGCAUUUGCUCAGGACACUCCAGCUCCACUAGCCUUUUCCAGCUCCUCCAGCACUACGCUGACCUCCUUCCAACUCAUCCAACACAUCAAACUACUUCCUGCCUCAGAGCCUUCCCUCUGCUUGGACAUCUUUUUCUCCAUUUCUUGCUUGACCAACUUGUUUCUACUCAACUUCCAGAUUCCUGUUUUAAGGUUGGUUUUAAGAGCAGCCUUCUGAGAUCCUCCCAAGGUCAAGGGUUAGUCACCUGGUAAGAAGCUGCCAAUUGCAAAUAAGAGUGUGCACUUGCUGGAUGUCUUCUGUUUGCUCUCUUGACCCACCUUCUACCAUUCCCCACCUUCUUCUUUGCCUCCGGAAGGGAGCUUUCUGGACUGCACCAACAAGCUACUUUGUCCUCUGGCUUGUCCUCGGAUUCAGUCAGUGGGAGGUACCCACAAGGUGACUUAGAAGGCAGAAGAGGAAUGAGCACUUGGUCAUGUAAACAGAUCAUUGUCGUUUUCAAUGUGAAGUUACUUGGCUGCCUUGGAAAAAAGGUAAGACAAUGAAUAUUCUUGAUAAAGUAAUACAUGUUUAUUGCUAAAUAUAUGAAGAUUUCUGAUAGAUACUGAAAAUCUCCAAAGCAACACAAAACAGUAAGUUAUUAGGAUCUUCCCAAAUCUUGCUCUGUGCAUUAAAAAGGAAACUGGUGAAAACUUGAGGCAAUACAACUUUUAGAUAAAUACAAAAAAUUGGCCGGGUGCUAUGUAUGGCUCAUGCCUGUAAUCCCAGCAUGGGUGGAGGAUCACUUGAGCCCAUGAGUUUGAGACCAGCCUGGGCAACAUAGUGAGAACCUGUCUCUUAAAAAAAAUAGUCAAGCAUAGUGGUGCAUGCUUGUGGUCCUGGGUACUCGGGAGGCUGAGGUGGGAGGAUCUCUUGAGCCCAGGAGGCUGAAGCUGCAGUGAGCUGUUAUCACACCACUGCACUUCAGGAUGUGCAACAAAAUGAGAUUCUGUCUCAAAAAAAAAAAAAGAAAAAAAGAAAAAAAUUCACAUUUAAUGUCUCCAUUAUUGACCAAUUAGUUGUUUUAAUUUUCUAUCAUUGUGAAUCUUUCAAGCUUUUUGGAUUCAUGUCAAGUUUAGAGUGGCAUCAAGUUACAUGAAGAUUAAAUUAAAAUCUAUCCAAAUACAAAAUAAUCAAGAAAUAAGUUGGAUGCCUUCACACAUUCUAUAUUUGGCUGUUAAGACAAAUGCAUUAAGAGCUUGCAGUGUGACUAAUUUAUCAAGUGUUGUAAUCAGAUAUCAUCACAUGUAAAAUAUUUAAUAUUAGGAAAUUGUUCUUAUAUAUUGCUAGUGACACUGUGCUUGCAACAGGUUGACUACUUUGUAUUAAUAAUUAAAAAAAUCUAUAGCCUCAACAACAUAGUGAGACCUCAUCUCUACUGAAAAAAAAAAUAAAAAACAUUAGCUGGGUGUGGUGGCACAUAGUUCUACCCACUCAGGAGGUUGAUGCAAGAGGAUCACUUGAGCCCAGGCGACUGAGGCUACAGUGAGCUAUUAUUGUACCCCUGUACUCCAG